rnacentral:rRNA from 1 species
CAGUCGCCGCGGUAAUACGAAGGGGGCUAGCGUUACUCGGAAUUACUGGGCGUAAAGGGCGCGUAGGCGGCGCUCCAAGUUAGGCGUGAAAGUCCUGGGCUCAACCUGGGAACUGCGCUUAAGACUGGAGUGCUUGAGGAUGGAAGAGGGUUGUGGAAUUCCCAGUGUAGAGGUGAAAUUCGUAGAUAUUGGGAAGAACACCGGUGGCGAAGGCGGCAACCUGGUCCAUUACUGACGCUGAGGCGCGACAGCGUGGGGAGCAAACAGGAUUAGAUACCCCCGUAGUCCCUGUCUCUUAUAC